ACGGGAGGCAGCAGUAGGGAAUAUUGGGCAAUGGAGGCAACUCUGACCCAGCCAUGCCGCGUGAAGGAAGACGGCCCUAUGGGUUGUAAACUUCUUUUAUCGUAGAGUAAACCUGCCCACGUGUGGGCAGUUGAGAGUAUACGAGGAAUAAGUAUCGGCUAACUCCGUGCCAGCAGCCGCGGUAAUACGGGGGAUACGAGCGUUAUCCGGAUUUAUUGGGUUUAAAGGGUGCGUAGGCGGGAUGUUAAGUCAGCGGUGAAAGUUUGCGGCUCAACCGUAAAAUUGCCGUUGAAACUGGCGUUCUUGAGUGUAAACGAGGUAGGCGGAAUGUGACGUGUAGCGGUGAAAUGCUUAGAUAUGUCACAGAACCCCGAUUGCGAAGGCAGCUUACCAGCAUACAACUGACGCUGAGGCACGAAAGCGUGGGUAUCAAACAGGAUUAGAUACCCUGGUA
rnacentral:rRNA from 1 species